UACGUAGGGUGCGAGCGUUAAUCGGAAUUACUGGGCGUAAAGCGUGCGCAGGCGGUUUUGUAAGCCGGAUGUGAAAUCCCCGGGCUUAACCUGGGAAUGGCAUUCGGGACUGCAAGGCUGGAGUGCGGCAGAGGAGACUGGAAUUCCUGGUGUAGCAGUGAAAUGCGUAGAGAUCAGGAGGAAUACCGAUGGCGAAGGCAGGUCUCUGGGCUGAUACUGACGCUCAUGCACGAAAGCGUGGGGAGCAAACAGG
rnacentral:rRNA from 1 species